ACGAGGCCUGCCCAUGACCCUUC
rnacentral:miRNA from 1 species